rnacentral:rRNA from 1 species
AUAACUAUUAGAAAUAGUAGCUAAUACCGAAUAAGGUCAAUUGAGAUGUUAAUUGAUGAAAGGAAGCCUUUAAAGCUUCGCUUGUAGAUGAGUCUGCGUCUUAUUAGCUAGUUGGUAGGGUAAGAGCCUACCAAGGCUAUGAUAAGUAACCGGCCUGAGAGGGUGAACGGUCACACUGGAACUGAGAUACGGUCCAGACUCCUACGGGAGGCAGCAGCUAAGAAUCUUCCGCAAUGGGCGAAAGCCUGACGGAGCGACACUGCGUGAACGAAGAAGGUCGAAAGAUUGUAAAGUUCUUUUAUAAAUGAGGAAUAAGCUUUGUAGGAAAUGACAAGGUGAUGACGUUAAUUUAUGAAUAAGCCCCGGCUAAUUACGUGCCAGCAGCCGCGGUAAUACGUAAGGGGCGAGCGUUGUUCGGGAUUAUUGGGCGUAAAGGGUGAGUAGGCGGAUAUGUAAGUCUAUGCGUAAAAUACCACAGCUCAACUGUGGAACUAUGCUGGAAACUGCAUGACUAGAGUCUGAUAGGGGAAGUUAGAAUUCCUGGUGUAAGGGUGGAAUCUGUUGAUAUCAGGAAGAAUACCAGAGGCGAAGGCGAACUUCUAGGUCAAGACUGACGCUGAGUCACGAAAGCGUAGGGAGCGAACAGGAUUAGAUACCCUGGUAGUCUACGCUGUAAACGAUGCACACUUGGUGUUAAUCGAAAGGUUAGUACCGAA